UACUUGCGCAUAAUCGGCUUAGACUUGUAGAGUGACCCAUAUAUAGGGUGUACCAAAAGUCCGUCCCACCCCUGCUAACUUUUGAACGAAUUGAGCUAGGGUAAUGAAACUUUGGGAAUGUUCCUAUCUCAAAGGGGACCAUCUUUUGGGGGGGGGGGUCAAAAUUUUGGUCCCCCCUCGGGGGGGGCGCGGGGGCCCCCAACUCUUUGUUUUCAAAUGGCAACCCCUAUAGCAAAAGUUAGCAGGGGUGGGACGGACUUUUGGUACACCCUGUAGUCUCUCUUUUAUCAGUAUUCUCACUGUCGAACCCUUUUUUUCGACUUUUGAAGGUACCAAGACGAAGAUUCGAUCGAGUACCACCAGUUCCGGGACCACGAGGAACAUCAUGGAGGUUGGGAUCUCUCAAAACUGGCCAUGAUCGUCCUCACCAAAAUUGGCCUCUUCAAGUUGAAGUUGUUCGUUCUGCUCAAACUUGCUAUAUUGUUCUUCUUCAAAAUGAAAGUGCUCCUCAUGGCGUUGUUCCUCAAGCUCCUCAUGCUCAUGAAGGCCGCUAAGCUUCUCAAACUACUCUUUGUUCCCUUUCUCAUAAUGUUCCUGGCGCCACUCAUUGCUUUACUACUAACGCCGUUGUUAGCAUUGCUUCCUAUGCUGAUCAAUGCGAUCCUGAACAAUGUGACGGUGCCAGUAUUCGUUCCGGGUGACGGAGAGGAGGCACCGGAAACGCGGACACCCGAAGACGAUGACGUCAGCGAGUCCAGAGCCCCGCUCACACCGGCCACCCUCCUUCAGUUCAAGAUGAUCCUAUCCUCGGAGGAGUGUUUGAAGCGGGUCGUCUGUGAGAUGGCAGCCAGAAGAAAGCCACCAAUCAAAUCUGUCGUCCUCGCCAGGUUACUAGACCUUGUCGCUGCAGUAGUCCCAUAUCGGACGGUCAAAACGUACGUGCAAGUUUACAAGUCAGGACUCUACGUGCAAGAGUCUCGGACCGAACCAUGGUGCUCGUCGCAAUAUGCCUGUUCUCUUAUCAAAGACACAAGCAAAACCUCCUGACACUCAUGGGCUACAUUUGCCACUGUUUUCCUUUCCUAAGGGCAACCUCAAUGUCCAUCUAUCAGAUAAAAGUCCGUUUGCAAUUUUUGCAUAUUCCCUAGAAACCUCAUUAAAAAAUCGUCACUUUUUGGCCUAUGUAUCACAAGCGCCAUGCGAUGCUCAAAAAUUUCCGCCGCCAUUAUCUUUUUUUUAAAAAAAAACUGUUCGACGAAGUUGUCCGAAAAUUUCACUGAACUUUUUUUGUGCUGUCGAUAAAAUUUCUUGAAAUUUUCAAACAGAUUCAACAAACAAUUUACCUGUAAAAAAAUAAAAUUGCGGGGGGAAUUUUUUAACUUGUGACACUUCGGCCGGAAGGUGACACGAUCAUCCACAACGAGAAUAUUUUGAAGCCAGUGAACAUUUUUUUCAGCCGACCCUGAAAGCACAUACCGAAGAAUUUUUUUUUAUUUUUUUUAUUUCAACAAACGUUACGUUUCAUUUUUAAAGAGGUAUAUUUUAAUAAAAUGAUUCAAACAUUUGGGACGUCCUGUAAAAGGAUGGUGACAGCGGGUAUUAAAUGAAAUUAUGCCAACUCAAUAAAUGGCUGUGAGAAGGCUACUGUUGCGGUUAGACGUCGCCGAGCGCCAGAGAGCGCUGUAAGAGCGGCUCUUGUAUGUAUGUACGUAUGUAUAUAAAAAUGCGUUUUUCUAAUGCAGCUUUAAAAAAUAAUUUGGGACGUAACCUUCUUGGAUUUGUUUUCCAAUUCUAGUAAAACUUCUUUCUUAAAAAUGUAUUUAUAUUUGGUUUUAAAAAACGUACUCAUUGGUAUAAAAUCAUAAAAGUAACGUUUAACGCAUAACGCCUGAGAUGCAUAGAUUUGACUACGAAACAGUCAUGCCCACAACAAACAUCAAACAUCGUAGCCCUCUAUUUCGAAAUAAGCAUAUUUGUGAAAAUUCUAUUUUUUAAUAACUACACUUUUAAAGUGUAAAAAAAUUAAUGAUACUUACCUUUCAAUGCAUGAAAAAAUAAUUUCAUAGACUUGAUAAAAAGUUUUUCAAGAUAAAAUUAAGUUUACAAUUUUUUUGUUUUAAAGUUUUUGAAUAAUUGAAGAAUGGCUUCAUAAAAUUUUAAGAAACUCUUUAUGUCACCAAGACGUUUCGCCCCAAACGUUUCGAAAUCGUUUUUGAAUCAUUUAUAACAGACUCUCAUCUAGGAAGAUUUAGGAGCUGUUAAAAAUACUUAGAAUGUUUUACAGACGUAUCUUUGGAAAAUUUUGGUUUUGUUUGCGGAAAUUUAAAAAAAAAACACGAGUUUUAGAGCGUCCUUGUGCCAUCAGGGCAAGAUCCCGUUUGGAAAGAGAAUGAGUUCGUCUGGCUGCCCAAAAAUAAUUUAAAUCGUCUCAAGAAGAACUCCGUUGCUAAAUUAAUUCAUGCAAAUUCAUGCAGAAUUUUUUUUUUUCACGUUGAGAGAUUUGUAGGUUUACAGCUGCAUCUGGGCCAUGCGUUCAAAAAGGUUUUAAGGACGAUAUAAUGUGUAUUUUCUUUGGGCCUAUGACUGAAUAAUUCUGAUUCCUAUAAUCCUUCACUGUCAACUCUUAAGUAUAGGUCUAAUGCGAUCAUAGAACCUGCACAAUACUUAAGUAUCAUUUGUUAGGCAGUAAAAGAGGGAAACGGAAACAAAGAGAUAAUAAAUCUUGUAUUAUUCAGAUACAAUCAGUGCAGUGUGCAUAAAUAAGUGUUUUCAAUUUCGGAUAUCAUCUCAAAAAUUAUGGAUUUACCGAUAAAUAUUACGUCAUGUCUAUUCGGGUUUUCAUAUUCCAUUUUUUGCUUAUUAUAGAUACCUGGUAGAACAUUACGGAGAAAACUAAAGCCAUGUUUUCAUUUGUACAUUAUGUAGAAACUGCAAUGUAUAUUGAACAAUUAUAACUCAUUCACUUUUUGGUUUCAUAAAAAUGGACCACUAUCGUUUCAGUGCGUGAAUUAUUCCGACCAUUUUCGAUGAUACCUUAUUAUUUAAUUCUUUCAAUGUUAUUGAGGAUAAUUGUGUACAUCUUCAAGCGAUUGUCAUUGUGUAAUGACGCGUUUUGCAUAU
rnacentral:lncRNA from 1 species